ACGCUGUUUCCCCUGUUUGCUGGGGUGGAUGAGUGGCGAACGGGUGACUAAAACGUGACUAACCUUCCCUUGACUCUGGGAUAAGCCCGGGAAACUGGGUCUAAUACCGGAUCCCACCUCCUGCCGCAUGGUAUGGGGGUGGAAAGAUUUAUCGGUUUUGGAUGGACUCACGGCCUAUCAGCUUGUUGGUGAGGUAAUGGCUCACCAAGGCGACGACGGGUAGCCGGCCUGAUAGGGUGACCGGCCACACUGGGACUGACACACGGCCCAGACUCCUACGGGAGGCAGCAGUGGGGAAUAUUGCACAAUGGGCGCUUGCCUGAUGCACCGACGCCGCGUGAGGGAUUACGGCCUUUUGGUUGUAUACUUCUUUUAGUAGGGAAGAAUCUAAUGUGACGGUUCCCGUAGAAGAAUCGCCGGCUAACUUCGUGCCAUCAGCCGCGGUAAUACGUACGGCGCUAUUGUUAUCCGGAAUUAUUGGGCGUAUAGAGCUCGUAGGCGGUUUGCCGCGUCUGCCGUGAAAAUUCGGGGCUUAACCCCGGUUCUGCGGUGGGUACGGGCAGACUAAAGUGAAGUACGGGAGACUGGAAUUCCUGGUGUAGCGGUGAAAUGCCGAGAUAUCAGGAGGAACACCGAUGGAGAAGGCAGGUCUCUGGGCUGUUACUGACGCUGACGAGCGAAAGUAUGGGAAGUGAACAGGAUUAAAUACCCUGGAAGUCCAUGCCGUAAACUUUGGGCACUAGGUGUGGGGGACAUUCCACGUUUUCUGCUCCACAGCUCACGUAUUAAGUGUCCAGCCUGGGGAGUACGGUCGCAGGGUUAAGAUUCACAGGAAUUGACGGGGGCCCGCACAAUCGCUGGAGCUUGCGCAUUAAU
rnacentral:rRNA from 1 species